GGUGUUGUUGCUGUAGGAGACUGUCGUCAAAGUUGCUGCUCCACUUCCGUCAUUCUUCCCUUCACAGUCAAUUUUAUGGGGUUGCAUGUCAAAAUUGAGGUUGUUGCUGAACCAUCAGAGUUUUCGGCCAGUAUCGAAGCUGCUGUCCGGUCAAUUUGGAAGCUGUUAUUGUGUCGUUCUAUUUUGUUUAUCAUGAUAUGUGGUUGUUGCCGUGAUCCGUGCGGUUGCUUGAGAAUUUCUACGGUUGCUGCCAAUUAACAUGAGAAUAAGGAUUUAAUGGGUUUAAUUAGGCAACUUGCGACUAAUCGAGGUAGGAUUUUUCUUAAAAUCUAUUUUAUAUUACAGAGUUAUGAUAAAUAGAUAUCGAUG